UGGUUCAAUAAUUUCCGAGAUCUUGAGGUUCAGUUUUUUUCAUGACCUUUUUUUUGCAAAUUUCAGAAAAGAUUAUGGGGAAAGUUCCAUCCAGAUUCAAUUUUUUUUUUGUCGAAAGCAGCAGCGUCGUGUUUCAUUAAUUAAGAAGGAAAGAAGUAAGGGGGCCUCAACGAGGGAAAAAGAAAACUGUACAUACAGAAAGAACAUCUAGAACAACUAGGAAAACUUCUGGCGGCCGAACAGAGAUCAACAAUCAUGGCAAC
rnacentral:lncRNA from 1 species